rnacentral:rRNA from 2 species
UACGUAGGGUGCGAGCGUUAAUCGGAAUUACUGGGCGUAAAGCGUGCGCAGGCGGUUAUGUAAGACAGUUGUGAAAUCCCCGGGCUCAACCUGGGAAUUGCAUCUGUGACUGCAUAGCUAGAGUACGGUAGAGGGGGAUGGAAUUCCGCGUGUAGCAGUGAAAUGCGUAGAUAUGCGGAGGAACACCGAUGGCGAAGGCAAUCCCCUGGACCUGUACUGACGCUCAUGCACGAAAGCGUGGGGAGCAAACAGG